ACAAACUACGUUUCAACCAGAUUUCGCCAUUUGUACGGCCGUACGUACAAUUUCAUCAUGAUGAAUAUUAUGAGACGAGAGGACAAAGUGAGACAUCAUGAAGCAACAAAGAUAACUGCAUUAUCGAAUAAGGUGUGUAUGGUUCAGGAGUGGACGUAUUCCCCCAAUUAGUAUUAUAAUAUUUGAAGAAGAACCAACUGGCAUAUUUUUUCUGAUAUUGUAGUGCUCUACAUUUGUCGAUACAUAAAUCCAAUACAAGAUACAUAGAUUAUUGAUUUUUAGGCUGUAGUCCUUGGAUGAUUAGUUCAGGGUUUAAUAUAUUAUUAGUUGGCGAGUAGCCCUUGGAAUCUGUUAGAUCUAAGGGUGAGUUGUUCGUGCAUCUGUCCCCCCUCCUUCCCCUUGAGAAGGAACCUCUUGGCGGCAUCCCGCACUCUUAAGUCGGCGUCAGUCUGUGCCAGAUGGGCGACUUCCUCAAUGACCUCUUCCCCCCCAAACGAAUCUGCUCAACCAUCAACCGUCCCACGGAACAGGGAAGUCCUACAUGAUACUUAAUCCUGGAUUGGACUAUACAAAUGCAUGAUCAGUCAAAUAAAAAUUUGCUAAAACAAAUUCAAAGCUGUAGGAUUCUCUUCCGUAUUUUUUAUUAUAACCACUUUUAAUUUCUCAUAAUUCACUCAACAAAUGAAACUUUGCAGUUUUUGAACAUUAGCAAAAAUUAUUUGAAUAAUUAACGUUUCUUAUUUGUAUUAAUAAUGAACCAGCCGGAAUAA